AACGAACGCUGGCGGCAGGCUUAACACAUGCAAGUCGAGCGCCCCGCAAGGGGAGCGGCAGACGGGUGAGUAACGCGUGGGAAUCUACCCAUCUCUACGGAAUAACGCAUGGAAACGUGUGCUAAUACCGUAUACGUCCUUCGGGAGAAAGAUUUAUCGGAGAUGGAUGAGCCCGCGUUGGAUUAGCUAGUUGGUGGGGUAAAGGCCUACCAAGGCGACGAUCCAUAGCUGGUCUGAGAGGAUGAUCAGCCACACUGGGACUGAGACACGGCCCAGACUCCUACGGGAGGCAGCAGUGGGGAAUAUUGGACAAUGGGCGCAAGCCUGAUCCGGCCAUGCCGCGUGAGUGAUGAAGGCCCUAGGGUUGUAAAGCUCUUUCACCGGUGAAGAUAAUGACGAUAACCGGAGAAGAAGCCCCGGCUAACUUCGUGCCAGCCGCCGCAGUAAAAC
rnacentral:rRNA from 1 species